CGAGCGGCGCCAUUUUGUGGAGCGGCGGGCCGGCGGGAGGAGCGGCGGCGGCGGCGGCGGCGGCGGACGAUGGCCCAGGCCCAGGCGCGGGCGCACGCCUUCCCGAGCCACCGCAAGCGCAAGCAGCAGGAGGAGGGGGCGGCGGGCCCGGGGGCCGGGGCCGAGGCCGAGCUGCUGGUCUUCGGCUACGCCUGCAAGCUGUUCCGCGAGGAUGACCGGGCGCGCUUUCUGGAGCAGGGCCGCCACCUCAUCCCCUGGAUGGGAGACCCGGGGCUGCUGAUCGACAGGUACGAUUGCCGGGGUCACUUACACGACCUCUCAGAAUGUGAUGCUGAGUACACUUGGAACCGAGAUUAUCAGUUGUCAGAGGAAGAGGCGAGGAUUGAUGCCCUUUGCGAUGAAGAGAGGUAUUUAGCCUUGCAUACGGACUUGCUUGAGGAGGAGGCAAGGCAAGAGGAGGAAUAUAGACGUCUGAGUGAGGCUUUAGCAGAGGAUGGCAUCUAUAAUGCAGUUGGCUUUGCUUAUAACAGUGAUUACUAUGACCCAUCGCAACCAACAGAAGAGGAAGAGCUUGCUAAAACUGAUGCUGAGGGUGAUGAUAAUACAGAAGAGAAUGAGGAGCCAUACACUGCUCCCACUGGGCUGCUUGUCCCUUCUGAUGUAGAAGUUCCCGGAACAUCCAAGAUGCACGCCAUCAUUGAACGCACAGCAAAGUUUGUCUGUAAGCAGGGAACACCGUUUGAAAUCAUGCUUAAAGCUAAACAAGCCCGGAAUUCUCAGUUUGACUUUCUGCGCUUUGAUCACUACCUGAAUCCAUACUAUAAGCACAUUCUCAAGACCAUGAAGGAAGGGAAAUAUAUCGCUCAAACAGAAAAAAAAGUAGAGGAAAAAAGGAAAUCUGUAACAGAAUCGGGUGAAGAUGAUGAUGAUGACAAUGAUGGCUCUUACCUCCAUCCGAGUCUUUUUGCUUCUAAAAGUAACUCCAGAUUGGAAGAACUAACCAGGCCUCUGAAAGUACUGGAUCCAGACCAUCCACUUGCAGCUCUGGUGCGGAAGGUACAAGCUGAUGCCAAAAAUGAACAAAAGCAGCAAGAAUCUAACAGCUCAGAGACGGUAGCAACAACUGGAGAAUGCACCUCAGAUUCAUCGGUGACAACCAUGUAUUAUGGAUAUUACAUGAUGCCCGAUGGUACAUAUUGCCUAACACCACCCCCACCAGGAAUGGAAGUUGCUGGCUAUUAUAGUGGUUUGCCUUCAGAAAUGGCUACACCAACUACAACGGGGACAUCAGCAACUACGGCAUCUGCAACCACACCUCCUCCACCUCCAGAAGGAGACAGCAGUAAUAGCCAGAGCACCUCUACUACAACCACAAUCAGUGCUACAACUGUGGUUCCUGUUAUUAUUCCUCCUCCCCCUGAUAUCCAACCAGUUAUUGACAAACUGGCAGAGUACGUAGCUAGAAAUGGGACUAAGUUUGAAACCAGUGUAAGAGACAAGAAUGAUACAAGGUUUGAGUUUCUGCAGCCUUGGCAUCAGUACAAUGCUUAUUAUGAGUUCAAGAAGCAAUACUUCUCUCAAAAAGAAGGUUACAGUGUUCAACAGGAAAUUGCAGCACCAAGUACUGUCGCUGUAUGUUCCGAAAGCAAUACUUCAGAGGUAUUGCAAUUUGAAGUACAGCAGGAGGUGACUAGUACAAGUGUAUCCAAUGCGAUGAUAACACAAACAGACUGUACCAGUUCUGCAGAUAAAUCCAUUAAUGAUGGAAAAUUAAUAAAAGCAUCUUUUGCACCAAUAAGUUUUGCAAUUAAGGCAAAAGAAAAUGACAUGCUUCCGCUGGAGAAAAAGCGAGUAAAGUUAGAUGAUGACAGUGAUGAGGACCAAGAUGUACAAGAAGCUAUCAACAAUGAAGCAAACAAAGAUAUACCUCCCUCCCUCCCUCCAGAGGAAAAGAAACCUCAGCUUACAGCAGAGGAAAUUGAGGCAAAACACGCUAAACAGAAGCUGGAGGACAGACUGGCAGCAGCCGCAAGGGAGAAGCUUGCACAGGCUUCAAAAGAAUGCAAGGAAAGGCAGCUGCAGGCAGAACGCAAAAAGAGAGCUGCGCUUUUCUUACAAACCUUGAAAACUCCCAUGCCUUCUGGAGAAUUGGAAACUGUGGCCACUGAAGAAACUUCCCAGAACAUGCAGGUUACUAGUGAAAUUUCAUAUAACGUUGCUCCAGCUACUGAAUUGAAAGCAUCUCGCCACAUCUCAACAAAAAGCGAAAGAAUUUCAAAAGAGAAAGAAAAAGAAAAGAAGAAAGAGAAGAAGCACAGAAAGAGGUCACGGUCAAGAUCUCGGUCACGUCCCAGAUAUCGCAUGAGAUCGAGGUCCAGGUCAAGAUCCAGGUCAAGGUCAAGGUCGCGGUCAAAAGCAAAACAUUCUCUGCCCAGUGCCUAUAGAAGUGUCAGACAUUCAAGAUCAAGAUCACCUCAUGGGAGAAGAAUUCAGUCAUCAGAAAGACGACGCGAGGAGAGAGAGAGAGACCGAAAUGUUCCUACAGCCUAUCGUGUUGGUAACAGCUCCGAUAUAGGUGGCAGAAAGCGAUCACGGUCUCCAUAUGAAAAGAAGAAGAAAAAGAGUUCAAAAUCUCACCCUAAGUUAAAAGAGAAACCUUUACGUUCACGCUCACGGUCUUUAUCACCAAAAAAGUCAAGUAUGAAGUCUUCUACAAGAAGUUCAGCACACUCUACUAGCUUGUCACCAGCAGAAAGCAGAGAUUCCAGUCAGGAUCAUUCAAGGGAGAACCUAGAAAGAAAGAAUGAGAACUUGGAAACAAACUGUAGAAGAUUGGAUGUCAGGCCUCGACACAGAGAGAUUCAGGAGUGCCAACCUGUACACCACCAGACAUGCCAUGAGUGAGCCCAGGGAGUCCUCAUCAUUAUGGGAAAAAUAUAUAUAAAAGCUCAAGAAGCACUCCCAGAGGGUUGACCAUGAUGGGUCUAGGGAACAAAGCAGGUCUAGGGCUUUACUUGAGAAGUCCUCUGUGCCAUUUCUGUCAACUAACACUGGUACAGUGGACUCCAAGACAAUUCUUAAGUCACUGGUCUAACCUCAACAUAUAGGGUUCAUCCUUCCCACACUGGCUGGUGUCAGUGCAUUCUCAAAACGUACUCAACCAUUUGUUUCUUUUGACAAUUUAUGUUAAGACCAAUUUUAAUCAGCAGAGUCAAGGAAAGUAACUAAAGUCAAAUAAAACAACCUCAACAUGGUUUAGCAUCAAGGUAAAUUGGGACCCUGCUGUCUUGGAUCAGUGAGUGAACUGAUACGCAUAAUUCCUAAACUGCUUUUGGUAUGAUUUGCCUUGUCAAGAAAAAGAGUAGCCUUAGCUGCUAAAUUCCUCCUCAAUGCUUUAAUGACUUUGGUGGAGUCUAACUGAGAGGAUUUUGCCAUAUAAACUCCAAUCCUUACAGAACCAGGAUCUAAGAUCAUGUAACAGGGUUGAAUGAGCAUUCCCUUUGAAUGCCCCACUGUUAAAGUGCCCAGCUCACCUGGCAUGUCUCAUUGAGACCUACCUUGUGAAUUCCAUUUCUUGAUGUUACACACCAGGAUAGUCUUUGGAAAGGGAUAUUUGUGGACUCUUCCUUACUACUUUUAGCAGCUUGAGGUGUUUUUAAGUUAGUGGGAGCAUUGUUUUGAGCUUGAUGUUCUUGGGCAAUAUGGUACUCCUAGAGGUGGUCCUCAAUGCCAACUUGGGGAAUUGCAGUCUUAGGUUGGAAAAACUUAAGCUAAUGAAUUACAAUGGCUAUCAGUUUAUCCUGACUUAUUAAAUUGUACUGAAAUCCUUGGUAGAGUUCCAGAUACCAGUGAGGUUAAGGAAGGCAACUACACAGAAUAAGAACCAUGUUGCACAGGUGCAAGGCCAAGGUUUGAAUAGAUGGAAGGUUGCAGUGUCUCCCACUGGGCCCUUUGGAUGAGAAUAGAUGGAUACCAUACAUCAUCUGCUAAAUUUGUUCUCAAAAGUUACUGGAUCAGAAUGAAACCCUCGAAGAAUUCAGUUUAUAUAAUUGUGCACUGUUAGACAUGACUUGGUAUUGAGCCAGCAGGUGCAGUUCUCAGUUUGAAGGUGGCAAUGAAUUGUUUUCAUAAUAUUGAUCCACCUUGGUUAAGCCUCCAGAUGUAUCAUAUGGUGGUAGUGACCUGAAGUUAACAACAGCACUGUUUGACAUGCAGUCCUGAAGCUAAAUCUUCUCUCAAGCUUGCCGUCUUGCUCAAAUGAUGAUUCCAUUGUAAAAUUGAACCUUGCAUUGUAGGUCACUGGACCGUUUCCCAGUACAGGUGGCAUGCAGACUGGGCACUGUUAGCCAAAUGAUUGGAGCUUCUUGUUUCUGACUGGUAUUGGCUACCAUUAGGAGAGCUAAUUGAUAGAUUUCCAUUAAGAGUCUUCUGUCAGAACAUUUUAGUUUGGAUACCAAAAUCAUCAGAUUGAGGUAGCCUUCUCCGUUUAGCUUAAGAGCACAGUGUUUAUCUGCCAAAACAAGUUGUAUCUACAGAAGUGCUUGCAGGGAUAAAAUCCAUUUUCUCAAGCGGAAGUGGAUCUUUUGGUAACUGUUUUACUGACUGUUGCAUGGCUCUUGCUUGAGAACAGCAACCUUUCAAGAGUCUUCCCUUUUAAAGGAGAAAGGUUUAAGAGUUUUUUUUACCCAGUACUAUUCUUUCCCUCCCACCCUUUUUUGUCUUGGUUAUGUUAGAAAGAGCAAGAAGAGAAGCUGCAAUGAUUUUCUACCGAUCACAAGAUCAGAUUCUAACUCCAGUUCGAACAACUCCUGCAUUUUAUUUUUCCAGUGACAGAGAUCAGUCCUCUAAAUUGAGAUGAGUUCUACAUCCUUUGGUGGUAGUACACAUAUUAGAAAAGAGCAACACAAAGCACAUCUCUUGAUGUGGAAGUUAUAAUGGCCUUCAGCUGAGAAUGGUGACCCCACUCACAAUAUUCCCAUUAUUAGGGAAUGUUUAACUUCGCAGAAUCAAAGCUGCUUCCAUACCAGCAUAAACAGCUGCAGUGGAAAUUUCUUUUUAUCUUCCACCCAUUCAUUGAGGGACUAUUCAUUUAAUUUACAUUUUAUGAAAAGAGAAUUGGAAAACAGGCUACCCCACAGAUCUAUGUUUGUGGCCAGAACCCUGGUUUGAGGCUGGAAAAAUUGCUGCACUCAUGUUUUGAAUCAUGGAAUUAUUUACACAUGAGGAAUGGAAAUGUAGAACUCAGAGGUACACAGGAACCAGAACUUUUCUGAAUUCUUUUGAUACAGCCUGAAUUAUUCUGAAGAUACUUUGCAGGUUUAUUCUCCUCCAUUCCCUUUUCCCAAUUUAAGGGUAGCUUUUUAUGGUCAUUGUCUACUCUGAGCGUCACUGGUUAAUUGUUUCUGAAAUACAUUUUAAACAUUGUUGUCUCUGCAGUGGAGGGGAACCUGUUUUUGAGGGUUAGAGAGCACCCACCAGAUCUAAAACCGAUAAUUUGGACCCAAUUUGGCAAACUGUUGGAUGUGGUACCUGCAGCGCUGCUAAUGCUGAAACUGGUCUCACUUUAAAAGGAGUAUUUUUAGGUCAGAAUUCGUUUGUUUCUGGAGGAUAAUGAAUUUAAUAAAUAAGAUAGCCUACCUCUGGUAGAGUCUUAAUUUUUUUUGUUACUUAUCCUCCAGAUAUGUCUUGCCCCCUUCCUCCUUUGUCCCCCUGAUCUGGGAGUAUGGGCUUGUUGUGCUUUUUUAAAAAUUUAAAAACAAUUAAUUUACAAGCUAAUUUCAGCUGUAUUGUCACCAGCUCCUUGGUUUGAAAACAACUAAGGAAUGUUCCAGGGCAGAAUUUGUGUGUAAAGAAUGGGAAGGUCGGUUGACUGUGAUAUCCAAUUGUAAGGGGGCAUUGUCCCUGUGCUUUUAUUUUCCCCCCUCUAUUCAACUGGGCUUGUUCAUUGGUAUGUGAAGGAUACCUUCAUUUGAAGAAUGGAGAAGACCCUACUAGAGGGGUGGCUCACAGGAAAAAGAUGAAACAGCAUCUCCAGAACUUCUAUCAUCAGUGCAGAGUAAAAUAACUCAGGAUCUAAUGGCCAAAGUGAGAGCAAUGUUGGCUGCUUCGAAAGAUGUAUAAACCAAUAUUUCCUGGAGGAAAAACUAUCAGUGGGCCCUGCGGCAAGGCAAGGAUCCGUAGUGGCUUCUCACGAAGCUUCAGCUGCCUUGUUGCAAGAACUAAUUUAUUUAGACAAUUUGGGCAGUAUUCCACUUUGGCAUAAACUUUUGUAUGGCUCCUUUUGAUAAGUACAGUUUGAACCAAGAUCUUAUUCUGUUCUGUUGAUGUUUUGCAAUUUCCCUCUCCUGUUCCUGAACACAAUGAUAUGUGCUUUAAGGUGUCUGAAUUCCACCAUGUCUCUGAAAAUAUGGGGCUGCCCUUUGAGCAUUAAAAUCUAGCUGCCUAUGGUCACUUGUGACAACCAGAUAGGAGCUUAGCUUAUCCUUCUGUGAAGGAGUUCUACUAUUUGAUUUCUCAAAGAUGAGGUUACAUCCCAUUUUGUAAAUUUGAGGAGUUCUCUCGGCAUAAAUCUUGGAUAGCAGCUGUUUGGGGUUUUAGCCUUGGAGCAGUUUGUACAGACAAGUGCUACGAAGACCAGUGGAGGCACAGCAGAACAUACCAUCAGCAUUACUUAUGAUGUAUUGUGUAUCAACCAUUUUCUGAAAGCUUUGCAUUUAUUUAAAUUGCUACCUAUAAAUUUACUUUGAUUUCAUACCCUGAAAACUGCGAGUUGGCUCUGGUAACAUUUUCAACUACAGAUGCAAACUAUUGAAAUAUUAAAGAUAAUUUAUUUGUUUAGAAUAAUGGUUAAAGAUUUAUUUGUGGGAAAAUGGAGUGAAAAUGCUUGAAUGUUUCAUCAAUUUUGAAAGGUCAUUUUCAAGUUCCUGUUCAGCUGAUACUUUGUGUUUAAGAUUGGCUUUUCUAACAGAGUCACAGCUUAUUUCAUUGUCUUGCCGUUUUGAUGUCACUGGAGUUCACAGCCUCUGUGCACAGUUGCAGUGAUGUCAGCCCACACAAGAUUGGAGGGAAAUUAUGAUUUCUGACUAAAUAUGGAUAAAAUGAUUGCAUACCUAAUCAAGCCAAAAUCUCAAUCAAUAGGUUACUCAUUCUUGUAAAAAAAACAAUUAUUACGCCAGCUUAUUUGAACAGUGUUGAGUAUUAUCCAUUGUACUUGUGUUCACUAUCUGGCUGGCUGGAAACAUCUCUCCAUUGCCAGGCUUGGUUAAUUUUGUAGCCAGUCUUGGAACUGUGCUAGCUAAGGCAGCAAUGCAACCUUUUUUUUAAAGAAAAGCUAAGAUUUGGUUUAUUGUAAGCCACACUAUUUAGCUGGGGAGCUGGUUAAUGCUAGGCUCUGAGAAAUAUUAACCACAGACUAUCAUCUCUAAGAACACCCCAAUUUUAGUCACCUCUAGUUUGUUUUCCCUCCUGCCUCUGACAGCAAUUACUUAAUGCUGUUUAAAUCUGGGAGGAAGAAUCUAUGUUGAUUUUGCAAAACUUCUUUCUAAUCUACUGCCAUGAAUUUCAUUCUUAUUGUAGUCAAGUUCACUAUUGACGAUCUCCCCAGGUUUCAGAAGUGCCUCUGCUAUAUUAUUAGCUGCUUGCUGGAAGUGGCUAGAUGAUUGUUAUGUUUUUGACAACCUUUCUGAGGAAGAUUAAAGGACAAGUUCCCAUUUCAGUUACAACAGGUGAUGAGGCAAAGUUGAAACCCAGAGGUAAGAGAAACUAAAAUGUUAUGCCUUCUUUUUAUACAGGCAAGUGGAAAAUCUAAAAGAACAGAUCUAGAGUUUAUUCCCCAUAGCACUCCCAAGAUAAUCUUAAUGCACCUCAAAUCCAUUUCCUGAUGGAUAUUCCUACAUGUGCUCCUCCAUAGGCUGACUGCUGCAAUACACUGGUUGCUGUCUGAUAGAGUUUUGUUUCUAUUGUUAUAUAAAGAUGUAGAUUUAGUUGGGUUACCUUGGUAAAGGUGUCACACACCUGGCAAUUACAGGACCAUCUGUCCAGAGUAGGACGUGUACUUCAAGCAAUAAUCCUUAAUUGAAUUGAGACUAUUAUAAUUAGCACCUGUAGUCCAUGAGACCUAUUUGUCAGCUUGGUGGAGAAAGGUGGGCAGGGGGUGAUUUAUCAAUGACUUAAUGGAUAACUUCUUGAUGUUAGAUUCCAAAAAGUCCUGUUGUCACAGUUCAAGCUAAGUUUCAUUGGGUUAUCUAUGAAUGUGGAUAAUUCUUAAUGAAUUGUAUUUCAGUUAAAUGGAAGGGAAUAAACAUAUUAAAAGUGAUUACCUGGAGACACAUUUUUCUACUGGCAUGGCUCAGUGGCACAGCAGUUAGUGCUGUUGCCUCACAGCUCCUUGAAUCUGGGUUCGAUCCUGACCUCGGGAGCUGCUAGUGUAGAGUUUGCACAUUCUCUACACAAGUUUUCCCCCGGGUUCUCCAGUUUCAAAAGAUGUGCUAAAGGGAUAGUGAAUGUUUCAGGCUGAGACCCAGCAUCCCUCUGCCUCCACAGAUGCUGCUUAACCUGCUGAGUUCUUCCCGCAGUUUUUGUUUUGCUCUAGAUUCCAGCAUCUGCAGUCUUGGUGUCUCAAAAGACAUUAGUUGGCUACUUUAAAUUACCACAGUGUAGAUUAAUGGCAAAAAGGGAAAUUGAUAGGCAUGUGUGAGAGAGAGUAAGUUUCAUAGGUACUGGGAAAUAAGGACAGAACAGGACUUACAGGAUUGCUCCUUGGAGCUGGCAUGGACCUGAUAGGCUGAUUGACUUCCUUGUAUCAUUAUAGCAUAGAAGAUAAGGUACUGAAUGAGGUUCCAAAGCAGGAUUGCUCUGAUAGGAGAGGAGAUGGAACGCAAUUGGUGCUAGGCUUGGGCUUAAAGGGAUUUUUAACUUGAGAUAAGUAGGCCUUUUCCUGUUUAUGAAAGUGACUUAAAAGAUGAAUUGCAGACUAGACCUGGGUUCCCAACCUUUAGUCCCUGAAUAAAAUUUGAGAGCAAAUACAGAGUCAUUUCAAUUCGUGGCAGCAAAUUGUCUUCCAAAUGACUCAGUUUCAUUAAAACAUGAAUUAUUUUAAAAAGUAAAGGAUUUAUUUUUGAACUUGCAACUUAAGAUUUGUACAUUCAUUUAUUCAAAUACCUGUAAUGCAUAGUUAUUAAGCUUGAAGGGCCAGUGAAGUAUUUAUUGAUGAUUCCCUCCAUGCAUUUCUAUUUCUUAAGUAUUUUAAAGUAAAAAUUCUAUAAAUGAUCAUACCAGUGUUAGGAUGCAUUGUCUUCCAGCCUUUUUAGGUUUCACGUAUAUUUCUUCUUUAAUAUGGUGUAAGAAAAAAUAUCCCAAGGUGUUAUUUCCAAUUAAAGCAAAAGUGCAUUAGUUAAUGGAAAUACUUGUUGGAGGGAAAAGUUAAUGCUUCACAACUGGUGCUUUUGUACCUGUUGGUCUUGUAAGGGUAAAACAUUAUCCGAUCCCAGAUUUUAAUUGAAUCCAAACCAGGAUCACUUUAAAAGUCUUCUCAGUUGCUUUAUGACAACGAUUACUUUUUUAAAGUUUAUGUAUUUGAGCUUUUUCUGUUAUGACUUUUGCUGCUGAUCUCUUGAACAAGUUCUCCAGAGAAGUUGCAAAAACAGUUCAACUUUUGAUUAUAAAUUUCCCAGAAGCAAUCACACAUCCAAUAACUGAUUGGUAAUGGAAUUCCUUGAAGCGAUUUAGAUGGGGAGAAGUCCCAUGCCUGUGGGAUUCAUACAGCUAUAAUUUACAACUAUACUUAUUAAUAUACAUAAUGUCUGACACUUCCAAUGUGUUGUAAAAUAACUCUGGUACCAGUAUUACAGAGAGCACCUGGACACCAAAGCAAGCCAUAGCCUUUUCAAGGAGACAGGAGGGAUUAUGGGCAGAACCACACAGAGUGGGGGCAAUACUAAGUUACACUGGUAUGAAGUCAGUGAAAGGAAUAAAGGAAUUUACAAAUAAAUGCGCCUUAUUACAUCUCAAUUGUCCCAAAGCAUUUCAUGUGUUUUGAGAAGCAAAAAAACUGCAGAUGUUGGAAAUCUGAAAUAAAAACAGAAAAUGCUGAAGGUACUUAGCAUUGAUAUUAAAUCUGUUUCUCUCCACAGAUGCUGCCUGACCUGCUGAGUAUCUCCAGCAUUUUCUAUUUUUAUUUUGUGUAAAGCUCUAUCUGUUGUAUAUGCAAAUCCAGUAGCCUUUUAACCAAACAAUGACAUGAUUGGCAAGUUAAUCUGGUUCAUUGGGUUGCAUAUUGAAAAGAGGCUUGCACCUUUACCCCUUAUGCAGUGUUUUGUACUUGUCCUCGAACUACCUGUACCUAAGUCAUGUUUCCUAUAGUUCUGUUUGGUUUCAUUUCUUUCUUCCAUCGCAGACAAAUGCAAUAUGAAGUUUGGAGCCCUAUAAAAGAUGGGUGUGUUUAAAAAUUGUAAAUAAACUACUUUUAUUGACUAUCCAGAAGUGUAAUUGAAUCAAUUCAACUUUAAACUGUUUAAAUGUACAUUAAGUAGCUUUAUGAAUCUGAAUGAGACUUUUAAU